UACGUAGGGGGCAAGCGUUGUCCGGAUUUACUGGGCGUAAAGAGCGCGUAGGCGGAAGUUUAAGCGUAGCCUGAAAGCCCCCGGCUCAACCGGGGAGGGUGGCCGCGAACUGGACUUCUUGAGGGCGAUAGAGGAUCGCGGAAUUCCCGGUGUAGAGGUGAAAUUCGUAGAUAUCGGGAGGAACACCGGUGGCGAAGGCGGCGAUCUGGGUCGAUACUGACGCUGAGGUGCGAAAGCGUGGGGAGCAAACAGG
rnacentral:rRNA from 1 species